UAUAUAUAUAUAUAUAUAUAUAUAUAUAUAUGAAAGAAGGGUUUAGAAGUGAGCGGUGCUGGUAUCACUCACGCCCUUGUUUCAUAUCUCAAAAAAAUUCUGAGAGCCGCUGCUUUCACUCUCCUCCCUCUCUGCCUUCGCUUGCGUCCGUCAGUGUUGUUCUGAAGUCCCAAGCCCCAUAUUCAGAAAAGAGAAUGAUUCAAAAGCUGGUGCAAGGAAUUGAAUAUGACUAAGCAUACUGUUGUGCAUGCAAUUUUUAUUUUUUAAGGUCUUCUGCUGUACGUAAAAGGUGGACAUACGUGAGGUAUGCAUGCAAUGAGAUUGUUUGGGGUAUGGGUUGUUGAUAGAGCAAAUGUUGGUGAUAGACUUGACCAGGUAGCUCUUAAAUCUUGCUGAUUAUAUCUUGUUCUUAAAAGUCAUUAGCUCAUAAUUGCUGCACUGAGUUCUCAAAUGUGAGUCCUAUUAUCGUUUUUUAUGCUUUAUGUCUAUUCUGCUAUUUCAGAAAUCAUUGAUCACAAUGAAUGUUUCCAUGAGUUAUUUAUUACAAAAGCCUGUAUAUUUUUUUAAUAAGAGUAUUGUUUUUUCUUCCUCUGUCAUGUUUAUAAUACUCAUAAUACUCAUAAGGCAUUAAGAUUGCAAUUCUCCAACUUAUAUCCUAUCGAUUUUGUAUUCAAUUUAGCAAUGUGAAACUUCCUUUGUAUAUUUUCAACAAAAUCAAAAGAUAAACUAUAGUGGGGUAUGGUUUAAAAUCAGCUGGAGUUAGGGUUUAUCUCACUCGAGACCGGGGGAUGAUAAUGGAGGCCAUCGGUUGCGGAUGAAGAGUGUGAAACGUUGGGCCUCUCAGACAUAUGCAGGGUGGUGAAUAGAUCUUUGAGAUUGAUAUUGAUGAGACCAUCAAAUUCAAAAAGAAUGGUUUGUUGUUGUAUGUUGAAGGAUGGUGAUGAAUAUUGAUAUUAAAUUUCGUUUGAAGAAGGGAGCAAUGAUAACCUUUCUAAGAAAGGAAACUAGAAACAGAUAGAUAAGAUCUAAUCUUUGUGGUGGAUAAAAAACUUAAUGCUCUUUUUAAAAGGGAUGGAGAUGAUUUGAUGGAUGCAUAAAAUUUUACUUGUAGAGUCUUUUAUAGGAAAGACUUUCUGCAUAACAAUAUUGGAUGAAAGAGACAUCAAGUGAUACAAAUUGAUGGUUGGGUAUUAAUUUUGAUUUAAUGAUUCUAUUAAAGUUACCACACAACAAAAGUAUGGACAAAAAAGAUCAUGAAUAAUACUCCUGACAAAUUCAACAUUUAUCUAUUAAGUAAAUAUUUUGGAAUUAAAUAUUUACAUUAAUUAAUAGAUAACGAUUGAACAAGUUAGAAGUAUUAUUCAGUAUCUUUUUUCAGCUCAUGUUUCUUUUGCAUGGUAAUCCUUAAGGGGAAUAUUCAAUCAAACUCAAUUCUCAAGUUUCCUUUCUUGCCAGGUUUCUUAGAAUCGGCAUUCCUUCAUUUGGGACCAUAAUUACAUAACCUGUUCCUACAAUUUUUGUCACUUCAAUUUUGAUAUAUCAUCCAUCCAAGGUUGUUAUGUGGAUAUAGUCUUUCCGGUGAUAUUCUAUAAGUAAGAUUUUAUGGGCCACCAUCAAAUCAUUUCCAACCUCUUUAAAAUGAGCAUGUGGUUUUUCAUCCAGUACAAAGAUUAGAUUUGAUAUGCUUAUAGGUUUCCUUUUUUAGAAAACGUUAUCUUUGUUCCCUUCUUCCAACCAAGCUUAAUAUCAUGUUUUGUUUAAAGAGAUGGAGAUGAUUUGAUGGACGCAUAAAACUUUGGUUGUAGAGUCUCUUAUAGGAAAGACUUUCUACAUAACAACACUAGAUGAAAGAGACAUCAAAACUAAAGUGACACAAAUUGUGGAACUAGGUUAUGUGAUUGUGGCCUAAAAUGAUGGGAUGCUUUUCUAAGUGACUUGCCAAGGAAGGAUGAUUGGGUAUUAAUUUUGAUUUAAUGAUUCUAUCAAAGUUUAUCACACAUCAGAAGUAUUGACCAAAAAAGAUCAUGAAUAAUACUCAUGACAAAUUCAACAUUUAUCUAUUAAGUAAAUAUUUUGGAAUUAAAUAUUUACAUUAAUUAAUAGAUAAAGAUUGAACUAGUUAGAAGUAUUAUUCAGUAUCUUUUUUCAGCUCAUGUUUCUUUUGCAUGGUAAUCCUUAAGGGGAAUAUUAAAUCAAACUCAAUUCUCAAGUUUCCUUUCUUGCCAGGUUUCUUAGAAUCGGCAUUCCUUCAUUUGGGACCAUAAUUACAUAACCUGUUCCUACAAUUUUUGUCUCUUCAAUUUUGAUAUAUCAUCCAUCCAAGGUUGUUAUGUGGAUAGUCUUUCCAGUGAUAUUCUAUAAGUAAGAUUUUAUGGGCCACCAUCAAAUCAUUUCCAACCUCUUUAAAAUGAGCAUGUGGUUUUUCAUCCAGUACAAAGAUUAGAUUUGAUAUGCUUAUAGGUUUCCUUUUUUAGAAAACGUUAUCUUUGUUCCUUCUUCCAACCAAGCUUAAUAUCAUGCUUUGUUUAAAAGAGAUUGAGAUGAUUUGAUGGACGCAUAAAACUUUGGUUGUAGAUUCUCUUAUAGGAAAUACUUUCUACAUAACAACACUGGAUGAAAGAGACAUCAAAACUAAAGUGACACAAAUUGUGGAACUAGGUUAUGUGAUUGUGGCCUAAAAUGAUGGGAUGCUUUUCUAAGUGACUUGCCAAGGAAGGAUGGUUGGGUAUUAAUUUUGAUUUAAUGAUUCUAUCAAAGUUUAUCACACAUCAGAAGUAUUGACCAAAAAAGAUCAUGAAUAAUACUCAUGACAAAUUCAACAUUUAUCUAUUAAGUAAAUAUUUUGGAAUUAAAUAUUUACAUUAAUUAAUAGAUAAAGAUUGAACUAGUUAGAAGUAUUAUUCAGUAUCUUUUUUCAGCUCAUGUUUCUUUUGCAUGGUAAUCCUUAAGGGGAAUAUUAAAUCAAACUCAAUUCUCAAGUUUCCUUUCUUGCCAGGUUUCUUAGAAUCGGCAUUCCUUCAUUUGGGACCAUAAUUACAUAACCUGUUACUACAAUUUUUGUCACUUCAAUUUUGAUAUAUCAUCCAUCCAAGGUUGUUAUGUGGAUAGUCUUUCCGGUGAUAUUCUAUAAGUAAGAUUUUAUGGGCCACCAUCAAUUCAUUUCCAACCUCUUUAAAAAGAGAAUGAUGUUUUUUAUCCAGUACAAAAAUUAGAUUUGAUCUGCUUAUAGGUUUCCUUCUUAGAAAACGUUAUCUUUGUUCCCUCUUCCAACAAGCUUAAUAUCUACUUUUAAGACUUGUUAAACAUACUGCAACAAAAAGUGUGUACUGCAUAUGAUGUCAAAAACAGAGGUCUCAUAAUAUAAUUAAAAUGAUGGUUUUUUAUCCAAGUGUCGAUCAUUUUGAGGAAUAUGAUGGUCUCAUCAAUAUCAUUUUUAACGAUUUAAUUCUUUGCAACUUAUGUAUAGUGAGAUUAUUUGUGAAAGUAGGAUAACAAAGUUCUUUCCAUCUCCAUUUUAUAUAUUGCAUUCCUCAUAAUACAAGCAAUAUAAUAUUAUAAUUAAUAAACAAAAGAGUAAGGAGGAAAUUAGAAGGGGUAACAUAUUCAAUGAAUAUUGAUAACGGAGAUGUACUUUAAAAUGAGAUGGCUAUGUUUUCAUUUUUCAGUCAAGUGCUAUCUUCUCCACGUCCCACUCUAACAAAUUUUCAACUUUCUCUGAUUUUUCAACACUGCUUCUCCACGGAGAUGUACUUUAAUAGUGGUUUUGUUAUACUAACGCUAUUAUUUGAUUUGAUGUCUAUUAUACUGAAUCACAGAAGGAGAAGCUAUAAUUAGAAGAAUGACUAUAAGUAUUUUUUACAUCCAAUUAAGCCUUAUCAAUAUGAAACUUUCAUCAAACAUAGUUUUAUAUCUUAUUUCAAGCACUCUGCAACUUAUUCGAAACAGAAACAGAAGAUCAAUAGUUACUUGGUUAUGACAUGCCUUGUAAUUCAUAGAAGUUUGUGUUUUCUCUUGUCUGGAUAGACUCUAAAGCAAGGGAAAUGGUUAUUUCUUUGACUUGCCAGGCUUAUACAUUUGAUGUGAAUUCUUUGAUGUAAACUAUACUUGGAAUGAUGAUGGUAGAUGUCUAGUUCCAUUAAAAAAUUUGGAUUCAAAUUCUUGCUUCUGAAUUCUUACUUUUCCCUUCCCUUCAGUCAAGCUCUAUCACCAUCCUACUUGUGUAUGAAGGUGACUUUAUGAAUGAAGUAAUUAAAUGGUACAAAAGAAAAUGUGACUUUAACACGGCCAUCUUAUUUGUUUUUAUGCUUCUUUCUUAGAUGUGUAUUAUUACGUUGUAUUAGCUGAGUUCUUGUUUCUUGUAAUACUACUUGAACAACUGCCUGCGCUUAGCCUCAUUCUCUUUGAAAAUAAAAUUGAUAUAUGUGGUUUUGUAGUCACUUACAAAAUUGUCAAACUCUCGAGUUGACUCUUAGCAUCUUAUGAUUUUACGUUUCUAGGUUCUCAAAAUGAGUCAAGUCGCAAACAAACUCUAAAUUUCCUGGAAUCUAGCAAACUCUUGUUGAUUCGGAAAACUUGUAUAGACUCGCGAUUCCACUCUGAGUCUACGAGUCACGGAGAAUACAAAUUUUACAGUAAAUCCCCGUAUUAAGAGGGGUUAUUUUGGGUUUCAAAAAAGUUUUCAACGAAGACUGAAAGAUAGAGUUUCUCAUUUUAAUCCAACAUUCUCAUUAACUUUUAAAGCCACGUCGGCGCUGGAAAUUGUCGUCACCGCUGCAAAUUUUGAGCUCUCUUUAAGACUUUAUUGCGAAUAAUGCACUCUUGGUACUUUGAUUGUUUAUAUGAUUUACUUAACUUUGAUUUAUUACGAAGUUGAAUGUUGAAUUUAUUUGGUUGAUGUCUCCUUGAUGGUUGUAGUAUGUGUUCUUUAUACACCAUGCUAGGUUUCACUAAGUUUUCUUUUGGUUGACUCGUACGAGUUUUUUUUUUUAGACUCGUACGAGUCAACUUUACGAUAUGAGUUUACCUUCCCAAAACGAGUUCAUGUAGACUCUCAAGUCUGACAACCUCAGUCACUUGUAUGCAUAUAUACUUAAGGGUGUCUAUGUAACACCCUGCUUUCUCGAAGCGAGUGAGUGACCCACGGUUGCGGGGCAUGAACGGUAGGGGUAGCGGCGGAGAGAGAGGUUUGACGAGUACUAGAGAAAAGAGCUAAAGGAAGCCAGUUACUGAUCCUCGCCUCGGGUGAGGAACAGGAUUUAGUAACAUUUUUCCAAAAUACGUGUGAAUUUUUACCGAAAAUAAAUCCUUUCAAAGCAUAUAAGUAAACAAUAAAUAAAUACCUACAACAUCUCUUUGAUUAAAUUUCUCAAGAGUACAUCAUUUUUAUUAUGCCAAAGUUAAACUAAUGACCUGACAUGCGUCAAAAGAGUUCAUCUGAACUGAAGGCUCACCAAAAUAAGAAGAGCCAGAACUUUAAACUUAAAUGUAGGGACUUUCUUAAGAAAGUCACCUCUCAAAAAUGGGCGCACGCCAUAUUGAGUGGAGAGCACACGGUAUUCUUUAGAAAAAGGCGAAAGAAUAGUUGGCUUUGUGCUCACCACAUGGCUUCGUGUUUAAACUGAGCAUUGGCCUACCAUUUUAUACUAUAGCAAUAGCUGGAUAUUUAUUAAUUGAGCAAUGUGGGACUUUGGUUUUUAUAUCUAGUAUCUGCUAUAUUAUGCAUACUAUCCUUAAAACAAUGAUCUCAGAUAAUAUGUAUACUACA